rnacentral:rRNA from 1 species
UGGGGAAUAUUGCACAAUGGGCGCAAGCCUGAUGCAGCGACGCCGCGUGAGGGAUGACGGCCUUCGGGUUGUAAACCUCUUUCAGUAGGGAAGAAGCUUUCGGGUGACGGUACCUGCAGAAGAAGCGCCGGCUAACUACGUGCCAGCAGCCGCGGUAAUACGUAGGGCGCAAGCGUUAUCCGGAAUUAUUGGGCGUAAAGAGCUCGUAGGCGGUCUGUCGCGUCUGCUGUGAAAACCCAGGGCUUAACCCUGGGCCUGCAGUGGGUACGGGCAGACUAGAGUGCGGUAGGGGAGAUCGGAAUUCCUGGUGUAGCGGUGAAAUGCGCAGAUAUCAGGAGGAACACCGGUGGCGAAGGCGGAUCUCUGGGCCGUAACUGACGCUGAGGAGCGAAAGCAUGGGGAGCGAAC